CUUAAGUACUGUAUGAAAUUAUAAAGUCUGUAUGCGUUACAUUUGUGCUUGCCUUUAUGUUCCAAAUUUAUAAUUCUGUAAUUUUGCUGUGGGAAAGUAUACAUUAGACUGAAAUGGUUAAUUUGGGUUUAAGCCAAUCUGACUUGGCAUAUUGUGAAUCAUUAGACAUUAUACCAUCUCUUAAUAUAUCCCCAGUCCUUGUCAUCAUCUCCCCUACACGCUAACCCUGUUCCAGCUCUUCUAGCUUAUGUUUUCUUUUUGAAAAAUAAGUAUAUUCCCAAGUUCUACUACUUAUUUUUACAUCACUGGGGAAAGUAAACAAUGUUCUUUGAUGGUCUCUUAGUUUCUUUGGGCGGCCAUAACAAAAUACCUGAGAUUGGAUGAUUUAUAAGCAACUAAAAUGGGUUACUCACAGUCUAGAGCUGGGGAAGUCCAAGAGCAAGAGGCUAGCAAUCUGGUGAUGGCUUUCUUCCUUGUAGCUGGGGCCUUUUCACUGUAACGUCAUAUGACAGACAAAGUUUGCUAGUCUCUGCCCUCCUUUAUAAAGGCACUAAUGCCAUUGCAUGAAGGUAUAGUCCUAAUUAGUUCCAGUAGUCCCCAUUUUCUGAUACUGUCCUAUUAGGGAUUAGAUUCCAAUGUAUAAAUGUAGGAGGGAUACAAGUAUUAAAAACAGCAAGCAGUUGCCUUUCCUUUUGGUGACACAUAUUGGCAAGGCGGCCUUGCAGAUUUCCACGAACAGGAAGUCUGUUGCUGAUGGCAUCUUCAAAGCUGAACUGAAUGAGUUUUUCACUCAGGAGCUGGCUGAAGCUGGCUACUUUGUAGUUGAAGUCUGAGUUACACCAACCAGGACAGAAAUCAUUAUCUCAGCCCCCAGAACACAGGAUAUUCUUAGUGUGAAGGGUCUUGGGAUCAGAGUUGACUGCAGUAGUGAACCAGAAGAGGUUCUGCUUCCCUGAGAGCAACGUAGAGCUUUGUGCAGAAAAAGUGGCCCCAAAGGGUCUGAGUGCCUAUGUCCAAUCAGAGUCUCCAUCUUACAAACUCCUCGGAGGGCUUGCUCUAUGAGGACCUGCUGCAAUGUGCUAUGGUUCAUUAUGGAGAAAGGGAUCAAGGGCUGCGAGGUUGUGGUGACUGGCAAGCUCCAAGGAUAGAGAGCCAAGUCCAUGAAGAUUGUGGAUGAGCUGAUGCUCCACAGUAGAGACCCUGUUAACUACUGUGUUGACACUUCUGUGUGCUGUGUGCUCCUCAGACAGGGUGUCAGGGCAUCAAAGUGAAGCUCAUGUUGCCCUGGGACCCAAGAGGUGAGAUUGGCCCAAAGGAGCUGCUGCUUGAGAGCGUUGUGAAGCUGAAUGAUGAAAUUCUGCCCACCCCACCACCCAUCCCCCCACCCCCAUCUCGGAACAGAAGGGCGGGAAACCAGAGCCACUGUCAUGUCCCAGCCAUUGCCUACAGCAUAACAGGGGCUUGGCAGCUGCUUCUGGAUGUUAUCCUUGUCCUGUAAAGACAUUUAAUAAAAUCUUGCAGAAAGAAAUACAAAACCAAAAGCAGCAAAUGGCCAAGACAGUUUCCUUUUCAGGUAAAUCUGCCUUCUAACUUGCAAUUGAACCUUCUCUGGAGUGUUUAGGGGUCGUCGUUGUUGGUUGGUGGUGGUGGUGAUGUUCUCCAAUUUAGUCCUCUGGUCUAAGUAGAAUACGAAGCUGCUUCUGCUCCUUAAUGCCUGGCUUGUGCUGGGAUCUGUGACUUUCUUGUGUGGUCUCUGUUGAAAAAUCUUGUAAUGUGAUAAAGGCUUAGUUGACAACCUUACAGAACAAAAGAUCCAUGAAAACUAUGCUCUGUUUAGGCAUCUGGAGAACAACUGUUGCAGACAGGUAAACGAUAAGAGAAAAAAAUCUUGAAACAGGUAGAGCAAGGCAAAUAGAGAACACUUGGUAUUGGCUACCCGUGUGUUUGCCUGUAGGACUGUCCCAGCGACACAGAGGUAAAUGCUGUACUAUCCUAUAUUCCAAAAUUCUUAAACUUCACUGAACUAGAGAAAGACUCCUGCUUCUAGCCUGGGACCUACUCAGAGAAGAAGAAAUGUAUAGGCUCUUUUUCCUUGGGAGGUGUUUUGCAUCCAGUUCACAUGUGUGGUAAAGACAUGUAAGUCUGAAGUAAAAUACAGGGCACAGAAAAAGAAUGACUGAUUACAUGCCUUUGUUGUCACAGACCACUCUUCUCUUUUUGUAUUUGUGACUUGGUUGUAGCAGUUUAGAUGUUACUUACAAACAGGACAAUGUCGAGAGCACAGAAAACUGGAACCACCCCCACCAUUUCAAAGUAUCCUUCUGAGACUUAAAAGACUUCCUUAAAAGACUUCCACUUGGGUCCUCACACACCCAUCAGAAGUGGCUCACAUGGCCACAUCUCAAUCAGUCACUAGCCAUGGAUCAGUGCCCAAGAAGGGGAGGAAUGAGCAAAAUUAACAUUCUGUUAACAAGAAAGAUGUAGGUAUUGGGAGAAUCGGGGUACAGAAUAGACACUGAGAGAGAGGCAUGUAUAACUGUCUGCAGCAUGCUACCACUUCAAAAAUAACUGUGAAAUCCCUUGGGAUGGUGGCUAUGUAGUUGGUGGGCACCGCCAAUGGGUAGAAACAAAAAGGGGACAAUGCAGACUAAUUAAGGACAGAGAAGUGAGCCAAGAUCAAUGAUUAUUCUGAUUACCGCCACAAUAAACCCUAAUGAGUUUGAAUGUACUAAUUUAUGUCUUCUUGUACUCAAGAAGUAUAUGCUCUUUGCUUAGUGAAAAAAAAUGAUUAAAAUAAUUUAUUUCUCAAUAAAUCUAUCUAGUAUAUUUUACAGUAUAAGUUUAUAGGAAUGUAAACAAUUUUAUUAACUUUAUAUAUCAUUCUGUUAACAAGACUGAUAAUUAUGGGUGAUUAUAACUGGUCAUGAUUUCUUAUGUAUGCUUUUAUACUGUAAGAAUUUAGCAUCCAAGAGAAGUUAGCAACUUACCGAAAUCCCACAACUAACAAGUGGCUAAGCUAGGAUUCAGACAUGAGCUCCCUCAUGACCCUUCCCACUCAACAUGACUGCCCAUUUUCUUGGAAGACAGUCCUGGGAUUAUCAAGACCAGUAGAGUGUUAAGUGAUUGGACCCUGCCCAUCUCUGUGACCUCAUUAUUCAUCCUGUGGCCCCUGCUCAAUUUUCUAACCACAUGCCUUUCUUAUUGUUGGUGUAAUAAGCCAGUCUCUUCCCCACCUGUGACCCUUUGCAUUUGUGGUACCUUCUGCUUGGAUACACAGCCUCUGUUCCUAUGGCUACAUCCACUCUACCCAGGCUAUUAAAUAUCUCCUCUUUAUAACACUAUCCAAGGACCAUGCUAUCUAUCUGUUCAGGAGUACUCCUGGGUCCUGAUCCCUCCCCACUUCUGUUUUCUUUAUGCUACUUGCCACAGUCUCAUAUAGUUUACUUAGUUAUCUAGUUUUUGAUCUGUUGUCUUCUAUCUGUAUUUUAAAAUGAAUUAUCAAACAUAUAAAUAAGUGAAUGAAUGAAUACUUACAAAUAUAGAUUUCUAGUAAUCCAGAGUUGGCCUUUAUCUCCCACCUAAGGUAAGAUGCCAGUUGUCAUUUGAGCCUGAAUCUAUCAAGCUCAGAAUUUUUUCUUGGAGAAUUUGAAAACUAAUUAAAUCUACUUUUUAUUCUGUUCAAGGGCAAAAGAAAUGAAUAUUAAAGUUCUUUGGGAAAAAAAGAUAUACUUACUAUAGCUAUAUACAUGUGGGUUUUAGUAGAGUCUUAUACUAGGGGCAUUUGCGUAAUAAAUUCUGAAUUUCUUAUUUAGAAAGCCUAUUGACACCAACACUUUUAAUUUGAUAUAAACUGUUAAAAAAUGAAAUUACGUAUAAGACUGAAUUUUAAAGUGGGAGUGAGAAUUACAAUUGCAUUUAGAAUGAUAAAUUCAGUUAAAAUUGAUUUCUCUGCAUACACAUAAUUUUCAACUCAUAUAUGUACUUAAAUGACUCUUUUCUCAGAACUGUUCUUAAUUGUUCCAAAGUAAUUAUGGAGGUGCAAAUUGAAAAAUAGCUUUACCGCACAUGUUGAUUCCUAAGCAACUGGAAUGCAUGAGGCAGUAUUUUCUUCCAAACUUCUUUUGCUCUGACUUCUCCUCCUUCAUUAAAGUGAGUGCUUUUGUAAAUGUGUACAGUUUUUUAUUUUAUUGUUGUUCUAUGGGUUGUUUCCUGCUAAUUACAUUGUAAGGCAUUGUGUUCUGAGGCAGUUCGAUAUUGGCAUGUAAUUAAAUUAUCAUUUAAGUUGGACAAAAACUUUGCAUUCCCUUCAUCCCUGCUCAUUUUUCCCUAGGCCCUUCCCCAGGGGACCUCACGAACUAAGGUAUCCUGGCCCAUAGUAUGAGUCAAUCCACUUGGGGUUUUUGUCACCUGAUGUUCCCUUGUCAUAAAAACCUGCUGCUAGUCACUUACUGUGAAAUACUCUUCUGGCUGACCUUCCUGGGUCUGAUUUCCAAAUGACAGACUUCAGUUUUAUGGGGAAUAAAACGCACCUGUGUUUGAGGCCACUCUUUAGUUAGGUUCUUGCAGGUUGUUUUUCUUUUUUUUUUUUUUUCCUAUUUUUUAUUAGGUAUGUUCUUCAUUUACAUUUCAAGUCCCCCAUACCCUGCCCCCACUCCCCUACCCACCCACUCCCACUUCUUGGCCCUGGCGUUCUCCUGUACUGAGGCAUAUAAAGUUUGCACGACCAAUGGGCCUCUCUUUCCACUUAUGGCCGACUAGGCCAUCUUCUGAUAUAUAUGUAGCUAGAGACACGAGCUCCGGGGGGUACUGGUUAGUUCAUAAUGUUGUUCCUCCUAUGGGGUUGCAGAUCCCUUUAGCUCCUUGGGUACUUUCUCUAGCUCCUCCAUUGGGGGCCCUGUGAUCCAUCCAAUAGCUGACUGUGAGCAUCCACUUCUGUGUUUGCUAGGCCCCUGCAUAGUCUCACAAGAGACAGCUAUAUCAGGGUCCUUUCAGCAAAAUCUUGCUAGUGUAUGCAAUGGUGUCAGCGUUUGGAGGCUGAUUAUGGGAUGGAUCCCAGAUAUGGCAGUCUCUAGAUGGUCCAUCCUUUCGUCUCAGCUCCAAACUUUGUCUCUGUAACUCCUUCCAUGGGUGUUUUGUUCCCAAUUCUAAGAAGGGGCAAAGUGUCCACACUUUGGUCUUCGUUCUCCUUGAGUUUCAUGUGUUUUACAAAUUGUCUUAUAUCUUGGGUAUUCUAAGUAUCUGGGCUAAUAUCCACUUAUCAGUCAGUACAUAUCAUGUGAGUUCUUUUGCCUGGGAAACAAGUCAGAAGAAAUGAACAGAGGCUGUUUCAGUGUUCACAUCAUGCCUUCUUCCUGGGGCUGUUGGUGGGGACCCCUUUCUCCUUGCUGUAUACUGACUUUAUAACCUGAGGAAAGUUGGAAAUACAAUUUUGUGAGCGUACAUUGGGAUCUGAUGAAAACGAGACCAGGAAUUAAAGGGCUGGGUUAAUGUAUCAUUAUGAUUUAAGUAUUAUUAUUAUUUAAGAUUUAUAAGCUUACGGUCUCUGGCUCUUGGGGCCUGCUUUUGGCAGGGUAGUCUCCAUGUAUAAUAGAUUGGCCCUUUUAUGGAUCAACUGAAGCUUUUCUUUUUCUUUCUCUCCUUUUUCUCCUCUCCUGUCAAGGCUGUGUAGGUGAGAAGCAGCAUGGGCUUAUGGAAAAUGUAUAGCAAAAGCAGUGGCGAUGAGAAAGAAUUCAUAAUGGGUACACACAUUGCUGGAGUACUUCCCAAGCACUUUGCAGGGUGCCAAUGAGGUUUCUUUGGCAGAGGCAAAGUGGAACAUGUGCUUUGCCAUGUCUGAACACUGACUUGAAAAGUCCUUUAUGGUUCACAAAGGCAGCUGCUUUUGAGCUGGUGUGGUAGCCAUAGCUUCAGAAAGUCACUUAAGUAUGUGCAGUGCAAACUCCUGACAUCCAUUUGGAAAUUUGGUUGCAUGUUGGGAACUUACUUCUUCACAAGUGGCAUGGAGCAAGAAAGUGUUCUUCGUUAGAUUGUGGGGCCUUUGUUCAUUUUCCUGGAGGGUUGGAUAUCCAGCCUACAUUCUGAGCAGUGUUUGCAGUGUUCCAUACAUAUGUAAAUUUGAAGUGAGGACUUUCUUCUUAAUUUUGAAAGCUAUGGACAGCACUAUUACUUUGCCUAGUAGAACAACAUUAUUAUUGAGUUACCUUUAGGCAUAUUUCAUUGUAUUGGUAGACUUUCUUCCCUGGGGUUUGUAACCUCUAGUGCAUUGUUACUCAGUGAGAUUUUAGGCUUUGCUAAACUUUCCUUCAUGAAGCCUGGGGCUCUUUAUGCGUGUUUCUAAUCUGAGACUUUUGUCUACUCUUUUAUUGAUUUUAGUGAGUUAGCUUCCCUUUCCUAGGUGUCUCAACUCUAGAUGGUAGAGGUAGCAUUGUUUCCUUUCGCUUUCAACAAGGCAUGUGUUACCAGUUUCCCCCUUGAGUAACUAGGACAUGAUUUUUUCGACUCUUCAUUAGUUUUCUAUAUAUUAAAUACUAAUAUGCCUUAGCAUUGUCACAGGUUGCUUAGAAAACAAAGGAUGAAUGCUUUGUUUUUAGUAGACCAUAACUACUGUAUUUCUAAAUGACGAAAAAAAUUACUGCAAAACAGGAUUAGUGCAGAUAGCUUAAGCUGGAAAUCAUUUUAAAUGUUUCAUGGCUACAUUUUGUGCUAAAUAUAAAAAUAAUUGUGUUUCCCAUGUGUGAGCAUCAAAAGCUCCGGUUGGAAAACCACAUAGCCUAACAAGUAGGUCACUAUUGAUGGUAAAACAUGAGGCAGGAAAUGUCACAGCUAAGAUUAGAGACCCAAGCAGUAUGUCUCACCGUGCUUGCAUUGGCCAUCCAAAGCACUAGACGGGCUCAACAGGAUAUAACUGACUUUAGCUCCGUUUCAAAGUAUUAGCAAGGAUAGCCUUUUAAUGUCUUAUUCUCAUUUGUUUCUGAAUAUUGCAUUUCUCCAGUUGGGCAAAAUAAUUGAGCUGCUUAGGUUUGCACAGUGACAGACUUCAGAAUGUCAAUUAAAAUGGCAGUCAUUACAUUCUAUCAGUGUACACAGAAAGCCAUAAUCAGCUGUAUACACUUACAUGGAUGGGUUCACUUGAUGUUUGAAAAUGUUAACAAGGAAUAAUAGAUUGUGAACAUUUCUCACGGGUUCUCGUCCAAGUCUCCUUUGUCUUCAUAUUUGAAAGUGUGAUAGCAUAAGCACAUCUGGGAAGGGGUGCCUUUAGUAAAGCCAGCUAUCAUUUCUUUGUCUUUGGGGACAAUAUGAGGAACAUUUAAUAUUUAAAGUGGAAAUGAUCACCACUGGAGAUAUUUGAGUUUUGUAAGAUACUUGAAUAUUCUCAUUUUUACACAAAAGCCUGAGGGAGAAAGGAGUAGUGUUCCCUAGCCUUUGUUUUGAUGAGAGGCAAUACUACAUUGUGGGGAGGGGCUCAAACCAAAACAGAGCCUUGGAUUCUGAGCAGCGCCACUCCCUCAUGCUGCAUUAAGCAGCUGAGUGGAUGCCCAAAGAGCCUGUGGUUAUUUGGACGAGUAGAUAGAGGCAUGCCGUGAUGAUUGAAUUUGAAUCUGUCAUUAGAGCCUUAUUCAUUCACUUCCAGCCUCGAGUCCUUCACAAAUGUAUCCUGGCUGACAGACUCACUGUACUUUGAGUGGAGAGUUUUAUUGCGUGAAUCUCAGAGGCCUCCCUAGGCUUGUGUUUUGAAAGGUUAUUAAUGCAGAUUAAAACACUCUAUUUUGUACUGGAAGUAUUUUGUGUAGGUUAAACUUUGGGCAGAGAAGUAGAAGAAAAUCUGAACAGAAUAAGUAUUUUUUUAUUAUUUAGUUACCAUGUUAACCUUUAAACUAAGAAGUUCAGUUGAUACUAAGCACCUUUGUACUGUGCACCUGUUAACACCAUCUCUCUCCAGAACCCACUUUGUCUUGUGUACAGGAAUAGUAUCACAUGAUCUUAACUCCAGAACAUAGAAAUGACCUAGGUUUUUUGUUCCUUUCCCAGAAAGGAAACAUAAGGCCCUGGAAGGAGAUGUACACCCAUAUUAACAGUAACUGCCUAUUCUCCUCACCAACACCCUGAAAAGCACCAUUCCCUAUUUUUGUCUCCAUCUCAUUUUAAAUGGGACCAUGCAGUUUUUGUCUUUUUGUGUCCGAGUUACGUCACUUGGUAUAAUGGUCUCCUGCGCUUGUGCAUGCUAUUAUAUACACCAGACUCUUUCUCUUGGGGCUGAAUAAUAUUCAUAA